rnacentral:rRNA from 1 species
CCUACGGGUGGCAGCAGUGGGGGAUAUUGCACAAUGGGGGGAACCCUGAUGCAGCGACGCCGCGUGGGUGAAGGAGUGCUUCGGCAUGUAAAGCCCUAUCGGCAGGGAAGAAGCAAGACGGUACCUGACUAAGAAGCCCCGGCUAACUACGUGCCAGCAGCCGCGGUAAUACGUAGGGGGCGGGCGUUAUCCGGAUUCACUGGGUGUAAAGGGAGCGUAGACUGCCAUGCAAGCCAGGGGUGAAAGCCCGGGGCCCAACCCCGGGACUGCCCUUGGAACUGUGCGGCUAGAGUGCGGGAGGGGCAGGCGGAAUGCCUGGUGUAGCGGUGAAAUGCGUAGAUAUCAGGAGGAACACCGGCGGCGAAGGCGGCCUGCUGGACCGCGACUGACGUUGAGGCUCGAAAGCGUGGGGAGCGAACAGGAUUAGAUACCCCUGUAGUC